AUUGAACGCUGGCGGCAUGCCUUACACAUGCAAGUCGAACGGUAACAGGGAGCUUGCUCCGCUGACGAGUGGCGAACGGGUGAGUAAAGUAUCGGAACGUACCUUUCAGUGGGGGAUAACGCAGCGAAAGUUACGCUAAUACCGCAUAUUCUGUGAGCAGGAAAGCAGGGGAUCGCAAGACCUUGCGCUGAUUGAGCGGCCGAUAUCAGAUUAGCUAGUUGGUGAGGUAAAGGCUCACCAAGCCAACGAUCUGUAGCUGGUCUGAGAGGACGACCAGCCACACUGGAACUGAGACACGGUCCAGACUCCUACGGGAGGCAGCAGUGGGGAAUUUUGGACAAUGGACGCAAGUCUGAUCCAGCCAUUCCGCGUGCAGGAUGAAGGCCCUCGGGUUGUAAACUGCUUUUGUACGGAACGAAAAGGUUUCUAUUAAUACUAGGAGCUCAUGACGGUACCGUAAGAAUAAGCACCGGCUAACUACGUG
rnacentral:rRNA from 1 species